UUAAAUAUGAACAUUUAAUAAUAAUACAAUUUGUUUUGGAGUAAGUACCAAAUUCCCUCAUUGUUGGCGUUCUUAUCGCGUACAGGACCCUAUAGUCAGGGUUAGAGUUGUUUAAUACCUCAAUAGGGCAAAAUCGCACCAAAUUUCUCCUUGUCACUUAACGAACGUUAACACCGUUGGAAUAAAUAAAUUUUCUUUUAUUUUUAAUUAAAGUGGGCCCCUACCGUUGUGUUUUCCGGCAACAAUUCACAUUCUGCCGGGGGAAGCUCAGCUUCUUCCACCGGAGCUCAUCCCUCAAUUUUCUGCUAGAUCUGCCGCCUACUGUCGAUGUCUGGCCACCAAUUCGGUCAAAUCAUCAGUAAUUUUGGCGAUGGGAUUCCGGCGACGGGUACUCUCCCAUCUCUUCGAGCCUUCGACGAGUGGCAGAACAGGGUCGUCGCGCCCUCUCCCUGAAGUCCGGCGGAGCAGGGCAGUCAGCCCCCUCCUUUUCCUCGCGGUUAGCAUCAACGUCAAUCCGGCAUCCGUCCCUGUUAAAUGAAAAUCAGGUACAACAAAAUACCUGGAAUAAGCCUCCCUCCGCUCCUAAAUGCUAAACGGAUGGAAAGAAGGUUUGCAGAAAAGUUUUUUCAAAUUGAAAGGGAAUUUCUCGAGCUCGAGAUCUAACGGCUGCUAUUAAUAGACUGAUUGUAGAGGGUAAAGGAGAAUUUUUAUUUCAGAAUUGAAGCUGAAGGCUAUUUUUUGUGUUCGUCUUUGGCUUCUGGGUUUUAGCUUCCAAGAUCUCAGUAAGGCUUCCUCGAUUUCAUUCUUCUGAAAAUAUGUGAAUUUUGCCGCUUGUUGAGAUUGAUAUUUUUUUGUUUAACGAUUGCUGAUUUUUUGCACUAGUGCAAUAUGUUAUGGAAUCUGUUAUUCUCUUCUCCUGCAGAAUAGAUUUUUUGGCACACCUCACCUAGCAAAGCAGGCUGGGAAGACUCUUGCUAACAAGCCAAAUCAGUAGACACCACAAUCUGGAUGAUCUGUCUCGUGCAAGAGCUACACCAAAUCAUUUGUUUCGGAGAAAGCUUUGGAAUCCCACACAAAAGCCAAGCAUGCUAGCAAGUAAUUUGGGAAUUAGAUGUGACUUGAUUUUUACAGACUUGGCCUUCAAUGUGUAAAGGCUGGGGUAGGUUGAGAAGUCUUCUGUAUUAUGGUUUUGGUUUAUCGGAAAUAAUGCAGCUAAUGAUAUUUCUUAUGUUUUCUAUCA